rnacentral:rRNA from 1 species
AUGGCUAGAAAUCGUGGUGGCGGCCGUCGCGGAGGUGGAGGGGCUGGUCGAGGCGAUGUGUCUCGCACGCCAAGCGACCAGGGCCGCUCUUCGACUCAAGGGAAGAUGCCGCCGCAGAUGGGCGGCUUCCACCAACAAGGUCCGUCCGGGAUGCAAGGACCACAUCAAGGUAACUUUGGGCCAAUUCAACAGUUUAAUGGUCAGGGGGGAAUGCAAGGGAUGCAGCCAUGGCAAGGGGUCCAAUUCAACAGUUUAAUGGUCAGGGGGAAUGCAAGGGAUGCAGCCAUGGCAAGGGGUCCAAUUCCCCCAAUUCAACCAGUGGCCACAACAGUUCCUCCCUGCUAUGCCAAUUCUGCACCAACAACAGCAGUUUGGCCCUCCCCCUACUCAGUUUCAGUCUGGACUCAAUUCCAGGGCUUUGGAGAAGGACAAUCAAGCACUUAUCAACAGAAUCCUCAAAACCUGCAGCAAAAGAAGACCAAGAGCUUCAAUUCUCAGAAAGAACAACAGGGGAAGUCAAGCAGUGCUGAGAAAGGUGACAGUAGUCAGAACAGAAAAGAAGAGGCUGUUAUCAACUAUGAUCCAAAGAUGAAGGAUGUGAUCUGCUAUAACUGUGGAUAA